rnacentral:lncRNA from 1 species
CCAGUGUUUUUUAUUUGUACAUUUAAUAUUCACAAAUCAUUUUACAGAUUUAUUCUUUUCACAGGUUCUUUAUAGGAAAAAUGAGGAUUAAAACAGCAUAUUGAAGAGGACCAAGAAAUACCAGCAGUGAUGAUGCAAAGUACAAAGGCUCUGAAAGAGAACAGAGUGAACAAGAGCAGAAUGUGGCCACUUCCUAAGAGGCUGGAACACUAACUUCAUUAAGGCAAAACCUUUAUUUACUGUGUUAUUUCUCCCUCCCACCUAGUUUACCCAAGUAGAAAAGAAUUCUAUUCUCAUACUACUACUGCUCUCUGACGUCUUAGGAAUAUAGCUGGUACUGCUCCAGUACUCAGGAAAAAGAACAAGUUAUUGACCACCUACAGCUGUAGGUUGUAAUGGCUAAUAAUGGGGAACAUACCCUGGGGAAGGGGUGUAUUUAUUUCAUAUGCAUAACAAUGCAAUUCAAAACUAUUGUCCUACUAUGAUCUCAGAUAAUG